CCCGUCACACCAUGGGAGUUGGCUUUACCUGAAGACGGUGCGCUGACCCGAGCAAUCGGGAGGCAGCCGGCCACGGUCAGGUCAGCGACUGGGUG
rnacentral:rRNA from 1 species